rnacentral:rRNA from 1 species
UACGAAGGGGGCUAGCGUUGCUCGGAAUUACUGGGCGUAAAGGGCGCGUAGGCGGACAGUUUAGUCAGACGUGAAAUCCCUCAGCUUAACUGGGGAACUGCGUCUGAUACUGGCGGGCUUGAGGACAGGAGAGGAACGCGGAAUUCCAGGUGUAGCGGUGAAAUGCGUAGAUAUCUGGAGGAACACCGGUGGCGAAGGCGGCGUUCUGGACUGUUUCUGACACUGAAAAACGAAAGCCAGGGGAGCAAACGGG